rnacentral:rRNA from 1 species
GAUGAACGCUGGCGGCGUGCCUAAUACAUGCAAGUCGAGCGAACCACUUCGGUGGUGAGCGGCGAACGGGUGAGUAACACGUAGGUGAUCUGCCCAUCAGACGGGGACAACGAUUGGAAACGAUCGCUAAUACCGGAUAGGACGAAAGUUUAAAGGUGCUUCUGGCACCGCUGAUGGAUGAGCCAGCGGCGCAUUAGCUAGUUGGUAGGGUAAAGGCCUACCAAGGCGACGAUGCGUAGCCGACCUGAGAGGGUGAACGGCCACACUGGGACUGAGACACGGCCCAGACUCCUACGGGAGGCAGCAGUAGGGAAUCUUCGGCAAUGGGCGAAAGCCUGACCGAGCAACGCCGCGUGAAUGAUGAAGGCCUUCGGGUUGUAAAAUUCUGUUAUAAGGGUAGAACGACUUUAGUAGGAAAUGGCUAGAGUGUGACGGUACCUUAUGAGAAAGCCACGGCUAACUACGUGCCAGCAGCCGCAGUAA